rnacentral:tRNA from 1 species
GUUCUUGAGGUGUAACAUGCACAUUAGGUUUUCAUCCUGAAAGUAUAAAGUAGAUUUAUCUAGAACA